AGGUAUGGUGAGUUUACCGUUGAUAGUUUUAGAAAUGAUAAGAUAGUUAAACUUCAAGAGCUGAUGUUUAAAUUUAGAGUCAUAAACUAAAAGCCAGGACAAAUAUAUCAACACCACAUAUAUAAAAAAGAGACAUAUAAAGACUUGGUGGCUGUAAUUGUAAAGAUGCAAUUUGACGCAUUAUUACAGCAGCAACUCAUCAAGUUUGACCAUUUUUUAGAUUCAACGGCCGAAAAGGAAAACAGUCAUUUGAUAGAUGCUUACUCUGCCAAUUACAAUGAAUAGUCAGGUACAGAUGAAAGUAAAUAGCACCAACAUGCAGAAAGUGCAGCUGUUUUUGUGUCAGCUGUUGCAGAUGUUAUUGACCCACCAUCUGCAUCCGUAAAGUGAAUCCGGAAGAUAUUUCAUCAACUGGCAGCAUGCAUAUUGAAAAUUGUUAGUAGAAGUUACAAUACUUUAGUUGAUACUUUUUGCACAAUUACAAAAGCUACGAGAACAAAAAUGCUUGUAAAAAGAUCAUCAAGGAUGCGAAAAGAUAACGGAAGAAGUUAGAGAGGUGUUAAAGCAUGCUUCUAAUCAACCAGGCGGAGUUAACUAAGAGACAAAACUUACAGCAAAUAUUCAAAAUAAAGAUGUGUUGCAGCGACAUUUUGAAGAAAGUUCGGGUUAGCGUGUUAUACUAUAUGUUAUAUGACCAGAUCAAAAAGUUUUUUUUUAAUUAUUAAGUGGCUAGAUGUUUA